rnacentral:lncRNA from 1 species
GGACUGAUUAUGCAACAAUUGCAUACUCUGAGAGUCUGUCAUGUAGUAGGUCUUGUUUGAAUAACGAGAAUUAGAGCUUUAUGCACAUGACGGUCUAUUGAUUAAUGCCAUUAGUCUUGCAUUGCAUAAUUCCUGGUAUUAAGUUUGGCCGGCUUAGCACUGUGAAUUAUGUAUAUGGAAGCACCAAUGGGUUAUCAUAGACGAUAUGCGAGUCAUAAAUAACGUGAGUCGCAGAUUUUGG